AAAUUAAUCACAGUGGGUGAGAGAAGAGAACCUAUCUACAUCUAAAGCUUCCUUUUGCAAAAGAGGCAUGGCCGUCAAUCUCAAAUGUCCAUUGCAAGGUUUCUUGACAUGGCACAAUGGACCGUUCGGGAACGUACGUCAUCAUGUAAUCCGAUAAUUUUCUGCCUCUUGGGUUUCUCAACGGACCAAGUGACUCCUCUGCCCAAACGAAUCAAACAGGGAAAAAUCAAAUCAAAUAUACCAGUAGAUUCAGGUAUGCUCUUCACUCUUGUCCCGAACCGAAGAAAAAAAGAGAGAGAGAAACAGAGGUGGUCUGAUUCUGAGCAGGAGGACCGACCAUUUUACCAUCCGUUUCUACUUUCUGAGGGCACGGAAGUGAUCUCGAUAUGAUACGAAGGGGUCACAUUUCAAUGUGAGAUUGUAAGAGUAUGUGGUUUCUGUAUCAGUUAUAAGUUUCCCCGCAUCAUCUGAGAUGAGAAAGUCCCAUCUGAAUCCUGUUGCCAAGCUUGUGAAUGGAGGCACUGACUUAUGUAUAGACUCCGACUCUAUAUCUCCGUUACGAUGUGAAUGUCGGAUCGGAUGAUUGAGGAUGCAGUAGGUGUUGAAAUUUUCGGGCAAUUCACGCAUGGCAGAGCGAGGAGGGCAGAUGCAGGAUACUUAGCCAACAAGAAAGCAGAAUUGGGCAGUGAUGGAACAGUACGGAUUCUAGUCCCAUCCCAGUAACCAUAGCUCCCGAUAGAAACAUUCUCAAGGCUGGUAUGGUCAUCAGGAUCGAACUUCAGCAAUGAUGAGUUUCGUCCCUUGUUGCUGCUGCCGGUCAAACUUUGGGUAGCCUUGAGGACCCGUUUCUUGUCCUCCUCGUGAAUGCUCAAAUCUGGAUAAUUCUGAGGUGUGCAAGGUCUUCAUUUUGACACACUGAAAGGAUGCAGAAUCUGUGAGAAUCGCUAGUAGAGGCUUUUCAACUUGAUCUGUCUCAACUAGGGACCGAUCCUUGGAUUCAGAACCAAGACUGAAAACCGAACAAGGACUUGAAUCAGCAGGCAAAUGAGCUAACCACCUCUCUGAUGCUCCCAGAGAUUGAUCAGAGACGUGCUUGCUCAAUUUCAUCUCAGGGACAGUAUCAUGGCCCUUCACUGAAACUCUCGAGCAUUUUUCUUCACAGACCCGACUUCCCAUCAGACAACUUCCAUCGGCAGUCUCCUUCAGGUCAG